AUUGAACGCUGGCGGCAGGCCUAACACAUGCAAGUCGAGCGGAGCGGCGGACGGGUGAGUAAUGCCUAGGAAUCUGCCUGGUAGUGGGGGAUAACGUCCGGAAACGGGCGCUAAUACCGCAUACUAUCAGAUGAGCCUAGGUCGGAUUAGCUAGUUGGUGGGGUAAAGGCCUACCAAGGCGACGAUCCGUAACUGGUCUGAGAGGGUGCUCAGUCACACUGGAACGGGAACACGGUCCAGACUGCUACGGGAGGCAGCAGUGGGGAAUAUUGACCAAUGGCCGAAAGCCUGAUCCAGCCAUGCCGCGUGUGUGAAGAAGUUCGUAGGAUUGUAAAGAACUUUAAGUUGGGAGGCGUUACCAACAGAAUAAGCACCGGCUAACUGCGUGCCAGCAGCCGCGUAAUAC
rnacentral:rRNA from 1 species